AUGAUGUUUUCAUGGCACUUCAUGAUUUGCUUGUUUACGUUUGUGGUUGCGGGUUGGCCGGGCUGUGCACAUGAUACAAGGGUCUUGAAUCAUGCAUUAGCACACUUCUCUUCAUUUCCUAUACCACCCAAAGGGAAAUACUAUCUUGUCGACUCUGGGUAUCCAAACCGAACGGGAUACCUUGCUCCUUUUAAGGGGAGUACAUACCAUCUGCCCGAAUUUCGUCUUCGCCGUCAUCGUCCACCUGAAGGGAAGUACGAGUUGUUUAACUUUUCACAUUCAUCCCUUCGAAAUGUUGUUGAGCGUGCUUUCGGGGUACUCAAGCAGAAAUGGCGCAUCUUGAAAGGGGUCCCAAGUUUCUCACCUCGUACACAGAAGCAUAUCAUCAUUGCUUGCAUGGCAUUGCAUAAUUUCAUUCGUGAUAGCAAGUUGAGUGACAAAGUUUUUGAUAAAUGUGAUGCCGAUGAUGAGUAUGUACCUCCAGUGCUACGAAAGGAGGUGGCACCAACACAAGCGGAUCCCGUUGAAGAAGAGGAGAAAGAAGAUAGCAUGAACAAUAUUCGUAGUAGGAUAGCUGAUGCUUGUCUUGCCAUGGCAAGAUAA
rnacentral:rRNA from 1 species